rnacentral:rRNA from 1 species
UACGUAGGGGGCAAGCGUUAUCCGGAUUUACUGGGUGUAAAGGGGGCGCAGACGGCAGCGCAAGCCAGGAGUGAAAGCCCGGGGCCCAACCCCGGGACUGCUCUUGGAACUGCGCGGCUGGAGUGCAGGAGGGGCAGGCGGAAUUCCUGGGGUAGCGGUGAAAUGCGUAGAUAUCAGGAGGAACACCGGUGGCGAAGGCGGCCUGCUGGACUGCGACUGACGUUGAGGCCCGAAAGCGUGGGGAGCAAACAGG